AGAGUUUGAUCCUGGCUCAGGACGAACGCUGGCGGCGUCUUAACACAUGCAAGUCGAACGGGGCUCAUCGCUUCGGUGGUGGGUUCAGUGGCGAACGGGUGAGUAACACGUGGGCAACCUGCCCCCGGCUCUGGGAUAACUCCAAGAAAUUGGGGCUAAUACCGGAUGUCCUCUCUGGCCGCAUGGUUGGUGGUGGAAAGGGUUUCCGGCUGGGGAUGGGCCCGCGGCCUAUCAGCUUGUUGGUGGGGUAGUGGCCUACCAAGGCGACGACGGGUAGCCGGCCUGAGAGGGUGACCGGCCACACUGGGACUGAGACACGGCCCAGACUCCUACGGGAGGCAGCAGUGGGGAAUAUUGCGCAAUGGGCGGAAGCCUGACGCAGCGACGCCGCGUGGGGGAUGACGGCCUUCGGGUUGUAAACCUCUUUCAGCAGGGACGAAGCCGGAAGGUGACGGUACCUGCAGAAGAAGCACCGGCCAACUACGUGCCAGCAGCCGCGGUAAUACGUAGGGUGCAAGCGUUGUCCGGAAUUAUUGGGCGUAAAGAGCUCGUAGGCGGUUCGUCGCGUCGGCUGUGAAAACCCGGAGCUCAACUCCGGGCCUGCAGUCGAUACGGGCGGACUGGAGUUCGGCAGGGGAGACUGGAAUUCCUGGUGUAGCGGUGAAAUGCGCAGAUAUCAGGAGGAACACCGGUGGCGAAGGCGGGUCUCUGGGCCGAUACUGACGCUGAGGAGCGAAAGCGUGGGGAGCGAACAGGAUUAGAUACCCUAGUAGUCC
rnacentral:rRNA from 1 species